ACUUGCUCGUAUACAAUUUUACGAUACAAUACCGGAAUCCUCUGAAGUGAAAAAAUUUCCCAGGAAAUAGGUUAGAAUACUUACAUGCCGUGUCCUGCAUACUUGUCCUGUCGUGUUCUACGAAUUUUCCAUCUUUCCGAUAUCUCCGUUAAUGUUAUAUAUGUUUGUUUAUGUUUUUCAAUUGUAAAGUAUCAGGAUGACACAUAUGU